GCCGGCUCGGGUAACUGGAUGAUCUCUCAGCUGCGCUUUCCUCCAUGUUGGUGCUGUUUCUUGGUUCUCAGGAAGCUUCACUUAAUUCAGUCAGGGUCUCAGCAGAAAACGGAUGGCUGUCUCACACUGGGAAACGUGAGGAGGGUUUAACAAGAGGACGGAGGAACAUGGUAUAAGUUCGACCUAGACGAGACCUCUCUGGACCCACUGAAGUUUGCUGGAAGGUGCCACCUAGUGGAACAUCAGAUGACCUGCCGCUUAGACAAAAAGAAACCUCAGGAAGGUUUUACAACGGAAAGCCGUCCAGCAGUGGUUCCCUCAAACUUGGCUGCAGCCACCCGGGGAUGGUGGAGUCCCUACCCUCCGAGGAUCUGAACCGGAGAAAUCCCGGGCCACCGAAGGGGAGCUCGGGAACUGAACCACUAGGCCACCAGCCAGCCUGCAUCCAGAGUUUUAAAAGUUGACUCUUCUCGCUGAAGUAUGUCUCAGGGGACCCUGAAAGAUCUGCCUAUUACUGAUGACAAGAUGGAAAACUGAAGCGUGAGCAAGAGAAUUGACAGCUCAUUUGAAAAAAAGAAGAAGAAAAGGAAGUAAAGAUGGG
rnacentral:lncRNA from 1 species